rnacentral:rRNA from 1 species
CAAGUCGAACGGAAUUAGGGGCUUGCUCCUAAUUUAGUGGCGCACGGGUGAGUAACGCGUGGAUAACCUACCCUGGUAUCUGGGAUAACAUCUCGAAAGGGGUGCUAAUACCGGAUAAGCCCACGGGAACUUUGGUUCUUGCGGGAAAAGGUGGCCUCUAUUUAUAAGCUACUGUAUCAGGAUGGGUCCGCGUACCAUUAGCUAGUUGGKAGUGUAAUGGACUACCAAGGCUACGAUGGUUAGCUGGUCUGAGAGGAUGAUCAGCCACACUGGAACUGAGACACGGUCCAGACUCCUACGGGAGGCAGCAGUGGGGAAUUUUGCGCAAUGGGGGAAACCCUGACGCASCAACGCCGCGUGAGUGAUGAAGGCCUUCGGGUCGUAAAGCUCUGUCAGAGGGGAAGAAGUGUAUGGGUGCUAAUACCAUCUAUACUUGACGGUACCCUCAAAGGAAGCACCGGCUAACUCCGUGCCAGCAGCCGCGGUAAUAC